GUGGAAAUACACGGGAAAGUACUCCUUCCCCGUUUCCACGUGAUUUUCCGACUUUUCGAAUCGUCAUCAUUCCAAUAAUGGAUUUUUUCCCAAGCUGAUCUACCAAAAUGGCUUGCCAAGUGUGUGGCUGUUCAGACGUAGAACCCCAUUUUGGAGCACUGUCAUGUAGAGCAUGUGCCGCAUUUUUCCGCAGAUAUUUCCACUCGAAAAAAGUUGUUGGCCAGUGCAAUUGUGCUGUAAGAUUCCGGAAUAGUCAUCCGUGUAGGGAGUGUAGGAUUAAGAAGUGCUUAUCGAUUGGGAUGAAUCCAGAGAAAGUCCAAGAAAAACGAGAACGUCAUCCCCCGAAAAAGAACAAACCUCCAAGCAUAUCAGAAGCCUUAACUUCAAGCUCUUCAACACCACCAUCCCUCCCGAUUUCCCAACUACCUUCAAGAAUAAUUCCUCGCGACUGCUCAUCAAUUACUCUAACUGCUUUUAACUGGCAAAAAUGUCAGCCAAAGCGAAAUUAUAUGACUCGAACAUUGGAUGAAACCAACUAUUAUCAGUUAUCGUGUUUUAAGAUAGAAGAUUGUAUGAUGAUUUGGAGAAUUGUUGAAGAUCUUUUUCCGUCUUUAACAUGGAAUUUAAGGAAGUUGGAUAAAGAAGCUCUUCUCCGAAACUUUCUUCCGAAGUGGUCAGUUUUAACAGCGGCUAUUGAUAUGGAAGUUAAAGUGCAAAGAUACUCAAAAGUCAACAAUACUGAAGAGUUUAAAAGAAUGAUUGUAGAUUUCUUUACAUAUUCAAUGCCAGAGAAGUUCAAAAUGCCACCGGAAGAUAUAUUGAAAGUGUUCGGACCCAUGAUAGUGUACUACGUAACAAAAAUUAUUCUUCCAAUUCAUGAAAAAGGCUUGGACCAGCCGGAAUUUAUGGCGUUGGCGCUGAUUAUUUUGUUCGAUGGAGCCUACUCCAACAUCUCCGUGGAGUGCUCCGAAAUGUGCCGAACAAUUCGCAACCUGAUAUUUCGAGAGCUCAAAAAUUAUCAAACCGACAAGAACUUUGAUGAAAUUCAGUUUGCCGAUACUGUCGACACCUUGAAUAUUGUGGAAAAAGGAGAGAAGAAGUUCUAUGAAGAGCUUUUGAUAUGUGAUAUGCACAAUGUGCACUUACACGAGGAUUAUAGAUUAUUGUUAAACGAGUUGAAUGGUUAAAUAUGUAUAAAUGCAAUAUUGAUUAAUUUAUGAAACAAUUAUAAUGAAAAUUU
rnacentral:misc_RNA from 1 species